UACAGAGCGGACGUUGAAAACAGCAGAUACAGCGUUCGUACCCCACCACCGGGUGUUCGUCGUCCUGCGAAGCUGUAAGUGGAUGGAAGGGUCGUCGUACAAUUGGCCUCGGUUGGGGGGGACGGCUGUAAUUCGAAGAGUGGCACGGCGGUGGCAGCUGGUUGUCAAAAACUAUUGUUUGUAUUUCCACUUGGAAAAAAAAACUGACCGCAAUUGAAGUCCGUUAGAUUUACGACCCUACGGACCGAUGUCUAAAAUGUUUCAUUGUAGUUUACGACUCACGGAAAUCGGGUAACGCGUUCGAAAGG